CCUGACCUUAAGCCGAUUGAUGUUCCUGAAUCGCGGCAUAAGGGCGGACUGGAUGGAAAAGGCAUGCUAGGAGGGGAACAAAUAAUAUGUAUGGACGGACUUUCUCUCACUGAAGCACACUACACAGUUCUACAGAAUUCUGCCUUGGUGGCUCCAUAUAUGGAUGAACACAAGAAUUUGCUACGCUCAAAACACCUAGAGCGGUCUGAUGACUGGAUUACACGUGAACAAACCAGGAGUUUCGCCAGCUGGUUGCAGACACGUACCAUGCAUGACACCUCUAUUGAAGAUGACAUGUACUUGCUGUCCCAGUUACCAUCUUCGAAUAUAAUGACUUUCAAAGGGUACGAGAUAAAUGGUAAUACAUUUUACACGAUCGCCCAAGAUAAGAAGAGCACCAACCAAAACAGUGGUGUCCGCUUUGAUGCAGAAACCAAGACGGGAAAGGAAACAUAUUAUGGUUAUAUACAGGAUAUAUGGGAU
rnacentral:rRNA from 1 species